GGGGAGCCUGGGAAUGGUGGGGUUCAGUUUGGGACUGGCAAUCCAGUGCAUAAAGGACACCCUAGAAGUCUCGUGUUGCACCUCGGGGGACCCUGCUGGGGCCCAAAAGCCAGGGCUUGGAUCUUCCUCUGAUAGUUCUACUUCAUUCUGUCAAAGAUCCAAUUCCCGAAAGAGUUUUUUUCAUCAUCUUCAAACAUCCAGAAUUGGCUCACACAAUUACAGAGGCUGAGAGGCCAUACUAUCUGUCAUGUGCAUGCAGGAGAACCAGGAAUGCUGGUGGUGUAAUUCAGUACAAGUCAGAAGACCUGGGAACCAGGGAGCUGAUGGUGCCCUCAGUGUAUUGGAUGAUACCUGCCAAUACUGGAAAGGCCAUGUGACCACACACCAAGAAGCUAGCUGUCUGCCAGCCAGGAAGAGAGCCCUGACCAGUAAUCAAAUUGGCUGAAGACUUGAUCUUGGACUCCUUGUCUCCAGAAAUGUGAGAAAAUAAAAAUUUCUGUUAAG
ensembl:lncRNA novel transcript